rnacentral:rRNA from 1 species
CCCUUAGAUGUUCUGGGCCGCACGCGCGCUACACUGAUGCAUUCAACAAGCCUAGCCUUGACCGAGAGGUCCGGGUAAUCUUUGAAACUGCAUCGUGAUGGGGCUAGAUUAUUGCAAUUAUUAAUCUUUAACGAGGAAUGCCUAGUAAGCGUGAUUCAUCAAAUCGCGUUGAUUACGUCCCUGCCCUUUGUACACACCGCCCGUCGCUCCUACCGAUUGAAUGUGUUGGUGAGGAGCUCGGAUUGGCAGCAGUUGGUGGUUCGCCACCGGCUAUUGCUGAGAAGUCCUCCAAACCGCCCCAUUUAGAGGAAGGAGAAGUCGUAACA